GACGAACGCUGGCGGCGUGCUUAACACAUGCAAGUCGAACGGAAAGGCCCUGCUUUUGUGGGGUGCUCGAGUGGCGAACGGGUGAGUAACACGCGAGUAACCUGCCCUUGACUUUGGGAUAACUUCAGGAAACUGGGGCUAAUACCGGAUAGGAGCUCCUGCUGCAUGGUGGGGGUUGGAAAGUUUCGGCGGUUGGGGAUGGACUCGCGGCUUAUCAGCUUGUUGGUGGGGUAGUGGCUUACCAAGGCUUUGACGGGUAGCCGGCCUGAGAGGGUGACCGGCCACAUUGGGACUGGGAUGCGGCCCAGACUCCUACGGGACGCAGCAGUGGGGAAUAUUGCACUAUGGGCGGAAGCCUGAUGCAGCAAAGCCGCGUGCGGGAUGACGGCCUUCGGGUUGUAAACCGCUUUCGCCUGUGACGAAGCGUGAGUGACGGUAAUGGGUAAAGAAGCACCGGCUAACUACGUG
rnacentral:rRNA from 1 species